rnacentral:tRNA from 1 species
GGGAGUGUAGUUCAGUGGUAGAGCACUUGCCUAGCAUGUACAAGAUCUGGGUUCAAUCCUCAGCACUGCAA